rnacentral:rRNA from 1 species
UGGGGAAUAUUGCACAAUGGGCGCAAGCCUGAUGCAGCCAUGCCGCGUGUAUGAAGAAGGCCUUCGGGUUGUAAAGUACUUUCAGCGGGGAGGAAGGUGUUGUGGUUAAUAACCACAGCAAUUGACGUUACCCGCAGAAGAAGCACCGGCUAACUCCGUGCCAGCAGCCGCGGGAAUACGGAGGGUGCAAGCGUUAAUCGGAAUUCAUGGGCGUAAAGCGCACGCAGGCGGUCUGUCAAGUCGGAUGUGAAAUCCCCGGGCUCAACCUGGGAACUGCAUCCGAAACUGGCAGGCUUGAGUCUUGUAGAGGGGGGUAGAAUUCCAGGUGUAGCGGUGAAAUGCGUAGAGAUCUGGAGGAAUACCGGUGGCGAAGGCGGCCCCCUGGACAAAGACUGACGCUCAGGUGCGAAAGCGUGGGGAGCAAACA